UCCCAGACUCCUACGGGAGGCAGCAGUGGGGAAUAUUGGGCAAUGGGCGCAAGCCUGACCCAGCAACGCCGCGUGAAGGAAGAAGGCUUUCGGGUUGUAAACUUCUUUUGACAGGGAAGAGUAGAAGACGGUACCUGUCGAAUAAGCCACAGCUAACUACGUGCCAGCAGCCGCGGUAAUACGUAGGUGGCAAGCGUUGUCCGGAUUUACUGGGUGUAAAGGGCGUGUAGCCGGGCUUACAAGUCAGAUGUGAGAUCCGGGGGCUCAGCCCCCGAACUGCAUUUGAAACUGUAGGUCUUGAGUAUCGGAGAGGCAGGCGGAAUUCCUAGUGUAGCGGUGAAAUGCGUAGAUAUUAGGAGGAACACCAGUGGCGAAGGCGGCCUGCUGGACGACAACUGACGGUGAGGCGCGAAAGCGUGGGGAGCAAACAGGAUUAGAUACCCCGGUAC
rnacentral:rRNA from 1 species